UGUGAAAGUGCUGUGUGUGAGAGUGCUAUGAUGUGUGUGAGAGUGCUGCGUGUGAUGUGUGUGAGAGUGCUAUGAUGUGUGAGAGUGCUGCGCUGUGUGUGAGAGUGCUGUGUGUUGUGAGUGCUGGGUGUGAUAGUGCUGUGUGUGAGAGUGCUGAGUGUGAAAGUGCUGUGUGUGAGAGUGCUGUGAUGUGUGUGAGAGUGCUGAGUGUGAAAGUGCUAUGAUGUGUGUGAAAGUGCU